rnacentral:lncRNA from 10 species
GCAAUUCACCUUUUCUUUAAAUACUCAUGUCACAUUUGUGCUGUUGCCAAUGCUUCUCAGACCCUCCAGAUGAGGACAUUUCCCUGAGGAGGUGGCUAUGAUGGUAGAACUUACAAGACUUCAGUGGACAUAAGGAGACGGGGUCAAGGUGGCAGGCAAGAUGGUCAAAUAGAAGUAGCUUCAGUCUGCAGCUCCCAGUGAGAUCAACACAGAAGGAAACAAUGCCAAGAAUACGUUAAUCUAAACCCAUGAUGUUUCUACAUCUCAAAGAACAGAGAGAAAAGGAAACUGGAGAGAGGCCAGAAGUGACCAACUCUAUUCCCUCAUUUCUGUGUUAUACUCCCUUUGUCUAAUCUUCCCUACCCUACCAGGUGGUUUAAGAAUUUUAUCCUUUCUCCAGACUAGAAGAGGAAGUGGGGGCCGGAAUUAGGUGUAUACAAAUUGUUGGAAAGCCUUUGUGUGGAUUUGGAGGGCUGAAGUAGAGUAUCAUUUUUACAAAGCAGCCCAAGCCUCUAAUCUGAGCAGGAAGAUUCACACUCAUUCUCUGGCAUGAGUCCUAUCAGGAGGAUCAAUGAAGCCAAGGCUGUAGAAAUAAAUAAUUAAUCUCUCCACCCAAGGAGGCUAGUAAACAAUAUUCAAUACGUGAAUACUGAGUUCUGCCAAGAGGAAGAAGCAUAUAAACCAGGCAACUGCUGAACGCAUUGCCAAAAAGGGAGACUUACGCAUCAUUCACUAAAGCUUUCCAAAAACUAAAUCAGAUCCAAGAACAGAUAAACUCCUGCAGAAUGACAAUGGUGGAGAAAUUGACCUCCCAGCAUUGCAGACUUACAUCAGUUGUUCUGAUGUUCUUAGUUAUAUCAGAUUCCUUCCAGAAUCUUCUAAAUAUAUCAGACGGUCAGACACAACCCCAGGCCCUAAUAAAAAACCCUGAUGCUGGCCUACAGAUGUGCAAUUUAAUAAACUUUCUCCAUGAUUCUGGUACACAUCCAACAUAGAAGAACCACUUAGUACUUCUCUCUGGCUCAUAUUUCUUCCACUAUUUACUAAAUGUCGACCUUAGGCUAAUUUCUUAAAUCCGUGUCCAAGGGUUUCUUUAAAUGGAGAUAAUAUUACCUUAUCGUCAAUCUAUUGUAAGAAUUAGAUAAAAGGGUGCAUGCGAAGGACCAAGCAGUGUAGAUGUCACACUGUAAGUGCUUAAUACGUGUCUCAGCUUAUUAUUCUGCAAGAGAAGUUAACUACCUAAUAAAUUGUGUAGAUAUCAAGUGCCCCUCAUGGCACUUUAAUCAAAGAAAUCUGUUGUUAAUUCCUAUUGUAAACCUCAGUUGCUACAUCAGCCAGCUCUUCAAAGGGAUAAAUAUGACAUUAUUAUUUUCUAAAUGACUUUUAUUUUCUAAAUGCUCUUAGAGUGUUUGAUCCCCCGGAAGCUAUCAUCAUUAAUGAUUUCUCGAGUAUACUGAGAGUAAUGUUUAGGUGUAAAGGAAGUGAAAAGUAAACAUGAAUGCUUCUUUGCUCUUCAAAGAUGAAGGUUCUGAGAUCAAAGAGCCUGAGUGAUGUGACCACAUCCCUAAAGAUGGUGCCAAAUGCCGCCCUACUGAUAAGGCUGCUGUGGGGACCGUGCACCUGUGUUCUUCUCUUAAUACUUACUCUGGGUCUCUGUUGACAAGGAACAUUUUGAAGUUUCUAAGAAUUAUUUAAUAACCCUAAUAAUCAUUGUUUCUUUAGUGACUCAAGUCUACACCUGUAAUGCUCAGGUUUUUCUUUCUUUUUUCAAUCGGGGAACGUAUUUUUUUUUUCUUGUAGUCUCUUAAAUAACAGAUUAUAUAAUAAAAAAGAGAAACUUUCUCAAGAAGGAAGCUAUCUGCACUGCUCUGCUGAACUCUAAGCCACCUCUGCUACUAAAACAGAUAGUAGCCCCUGUUGGGGUCUCUGGAGCAGGGAAAUCCAAGCUGUCAUGGAGCAUGUAUUCAGUAACCAAAGAGGAUUCUACAAGUUUUGUUUUUCUGGCUAGGUGACUUCAGCCCAUCAAAGACAAAGAUGAAAUAAAAUAAUCUGAAUGAUC